AACGAACGCUGGCGGCGCGUCUUAAGCAUGCAAGUCGAGCGGCAAGGGCAGCAAUGCCCCUAGAGCGGCGGACUGGUGAGUAACGCGUGGGUGACCUACCUUGAGGUUGGGGAUAGCCGUUAGAAAUAGCGGGUAAUACCGGAUGUGGUUAUCGGGCUAUGGCCUGGUAAAGAAAGGGGCUUUGGCCCCGCCUUGAGAUGGGCCCGCGUCCCAUUAGGUAGUUGGUGAGGUAAGAGCCCACCAAGCCCGAGAUGGGUAGCCGGCCUGAGAGGGUGAACGGCCACACUGGGACUGAGAUACGGCCCAGACUCCUACGGGAGGCAGCAGCUAAGAAUAUUCCGCAAUGGACGAAAGUCUGACGGAGCGACGCCGCGUGGAUGAGGAAGGCCGAAAGGUUGUAAAAUCCUUUUGCGGAUGAAGAAUAAGCGGGGCAGGGAAUGGCCUCGUGAUGACGUUAGUCCGUGAAUAAGCCCCG
rnacentral:rRNA from 1 species